rnacentral:rRNA from 1 species
GACGAACGCUGGCGGCGUGCUUAACACAUGCAAGUCGAACGGUGAUGCUUCAGCUUGCUGGCGUGGAUCAGUGGCGAACGGGUGAGUAUCACGUGAGCAACCUGCCCCAGACUCUGGGAUAAGCGCUGGAAAAGGCGUUUAAUACUGGAUACGAAACUUUUACGCAUGGGCAUUGUUUUUAAAGUUUUUCGUUUUGGGAUGGGCUCGCGGUCUAUCAGCUUGUUGGUGAGGUAAUGGCUCACCAAGGCGACGACGGGUAGCCGGCCUGAGAGGGUGACCGGCCACACUGGGACUGGGACAGGGCCAAGACGCAUACGGGAGGCAGCAGUGGAGAAUAGUGCAAAAUGGGCGAAAGCAGGAAACAGCGACGCCGCGUGAGGGAUGACGGCCGUCGGGUUAUAAACCUCGUUCAGCAGGGAAGAAGCGAAAGUGACGGUACCUGCAGAAGAAGCACCGGCUAACUACGUG